GAAGGAGGAAAAGAAAAACAAAAACAAAAAGAAAACAAGAGAAGAGUCAGCAUUGUGUUCGUUUCGUUUCGUUUCUUCUUAUAUUCUUCCCACGUUCUCUCUCUCUCUCUCUCUCUCCCGCGCAACGCUCAUACACAACGGAACCAAACGAAUGUUUUAAAAGGAGAAAGAAGCCGCAAGAAGAGGUUCACAGUGUUUCAAACUUUCUUUUCAAAUCCUUUUUUUUUCUUGGGAAGAAAAGGAAGGAAAAGAAAAAAA
rnacentral:ribozyme from 1 species